rnacentral:rRNA from 1 species
UCAUUAGCGAGUUUUCAACUCCCAACCCUUGCGAACCGUACCCCGUUCUGUUCUCGUUGCCUCUGGCGGGAGGGGGAGGGGGGCCGCCCUUCGGGGCGCGCCUCUCUUCCCCCCCGGUCCCCUCGGGGCGCCCGCCAGCGGCCGCGAGCCGCCCGAACUUUUUAUAACCGUAACCGACACGUCUGAGAAACAAACAAAAACAGCCAAAACUUUCAACAACGGAUCUCUUGGCUCUGGCAUCGAUGAAGAACGCAGCGAAAUGCGAUACGUAAUGCGAAUUGCAGAAUUCAGCGAGUCAUCGAAUCUUUGAACGCACAUUGCGCCCGCCAGCAUUCUGGCGGGCAUGCCUGUCCGAGCGUCAUUUCCCCCCUCAGCGCGCCCUUCGGGAGGCGCUGGCGUUGGGGCUCCUCCGCCCUCUGCGGCGGCAGGGCCCUCAAAUCCAGUGGCGGGCCCGGCUGGUUGGCUCCGAGCGCAGUACCGAACGCAAGUUCUCUCCCUCGCUCUGCAGCCCCGGCCGGCGCCCUGCCGUCAAGCCGCGCAGGCGUCCAGCACGCCUCGCACUUUUACAAGGUUGA